UGGGGGAUAUUGGACAAUGGGGGGAACCCUGAUCCAGCGACGCCGCGUGAGUGAAGGAGCGUUUCGGCGCGUAAAGCUCUAUCAGCAGGGAAGAAAGAGGACGGUACCUGACUAAGAAGCCCCGGCUAACUACGUGCCAGCAGCCGCGGUAAUACGUAGGGGGCAAGCGUUAUCCGGAUUUACUGGGUGUAAAGGGAGCGUAGACGGCAAGGCAAGUCUGGUGUGAAAGGUCGGGGCCCAACCCCGGGACUGCAUUGGAAACUGCCUGGCUGGAGUGCAGGAGAGGCAAGUGGAAUUCCUAGUGUAGCGGUGAAAUGCGUAGAUAUUAGGAGGAACACCAGUGGCGAAGGCGGCUUGCUGGACUGUAACUGACGUUGAGGCUCGAAAGCGUGGGGAGCAAACAGG
rnacentral:rRNA from 1 species